rnacentral:rRNA from 1 species
CUUUCUCCGCCGGCGACCGGCGCACGGGUGAGUAACACGUAUGCAACCUCGCCCCUGUCGAGGGGGACAACCCGCCGAAAGGCGGGCUAAACCCGCGUACAUGCCACCGGGGCAUCCCGGAGGCAGGAAAGGCUUCGGCCGGACAGGGAUGGGCAUGCGGCGCAUUAGGCAGUAGGCGGGGUAACGGCCCACCUAACCGACGAUGCGUAGGGGUUCUGAGAGGAAGGUCCCCCACACUGGUACUGAGACACGGACCAGACUCCUACGGGAGGCAGCAG